rnacentral:lncRNA from 7 species
AAACUGCUGCGCUGAGAGAAUGUGCUCAUUAAGCAGGAAUCUUAAGAAGUUGGGGAUAUUUGCCUAAUGCCCUCCUCCUCCUCCCCACUGUCUUAUGGAGCAGAGGGACCAAGAUCCAUUAUUUGACCCUUGGGGAAGAGGCAUAAAUGAAAAUCCCUCAGAUAUUUCUCUCUUGCUGAUGGAUCUGUGUUGCCAUCUGAAUGCAGAAGAGCACUCAUGGGGUGAAAUGCGCUCCUUUCCUUGAAGGCUGAAGUGAGAGCAGAGCCUCUGAGCUUUCUGUUUUGAACAGCUCUACAGUGCCAAGAUAAAGUGGAACAGACCCUUCUCAUUGUCAGUGUGAAUUAUGUGAUACCAGUAAAACAGAAACAGAGGGAAGACUUUAGCAAAAAGCUAUAAGCAAGAGAGAGGCUGAUUUUCUUGUUGGAAACAGCUGACUAUGAGAAAUCAGGUGCACUCCUUCAUCUCUGCAGCUCUUCAGCCCUGCUCUGUUUUGACGCCAGCUCUGCACUUGAUGCCUGAACCUCUGAUAUCUCCCUCACGUCAGUGAGCCCCAUGUGCCCUCUAGGCAAAGAAAUAGAGCGGAGCAAGGUGUUGGCAGGUCCGUAACAUGUAUUGCUCAAGCAACUCAAGCACUGUGGGCACAGGGCCCAGUUCUUGGUGCACAGCUCCGUGCUGGGAUGUGCAUAUUUUGUGUCCAUGUUUGAGACACCUGUUUUUGAAAACAUAGCCUCAGGCCUUUAUUUUAUAGAUGCCGUCAGUGAUAAACACUACCUCCAACCAGCCGAAGAAUGCAGCCAGAAGCAAGCGUGGCUGGCUGCAAGAGGAGCUCAUGAGCUCACCACAGAGUGCACUCGCCCAGAGAUCUCCAGCAAAGCAACCGGGGCCUGAGGCAAGCAGAGGGAGAGGAGGGAGCGGUGUAUGUGUUCCAAUUAAUCGGAGCAGAAAGAGAAAGCCAGGAUCCGCAGUGCCUGGGGCGGCACAAAUUGAACAGGUUGAACCUGAUGGCGGUGAAAGGAGGUGGCAGCGGGGGGACCCUGGCUGGCUGCGUUGCCCACUGCCACAGAUGCCCCCAUGCUGGGAGCUACUGUCCUGCUGGGGCAGUGGACAAGCACAGAAUAAUAAACCCCAUGCCCAGGGGCCAGGGUCUCCCCCCAGCCCAUCCUCUGCCAGUGCAAGCUGAUGUUACAGUGAUACCUGCUUCCUCCCCUUCCCCAGUGACAGAUGUCCUCUUCCUAAGGACGUCAUUGGAAAGCUGGGGCAUGGAGAUACCUGGUCUGAGGAGGGUCGAUACAAUUCUCCUUUCUAGAAUCAGGAAAAUUCCCAUUUUCAUGAUUUUUUUUCAAGAUGACCUCACUAUACAGUUGCCCAAAGGCACAGACCUGACUUGAAGACCUGGCCAAAAGGAAAAGAAGAAUCACAUGGGACAGAGGUUGCCAGGGGCAGGAGGACAUGUUGUAGGGGAGAAGAUAAAGCUGGAAUCAGCAAGGCACUGGAGGAAACUCCCCUUCUUUAAUCAAUGAUGCCCAGAACAGAAGGGAGAGCCUUCUCUUGCAGCAGGAGAUCUGGGUGGAGGAGAGAUGGCUCCCGAGCUUUGCAAUGGGACUAGAAGGUCAUGCCAAACAGGUUAUUCCUUUAAUAUAUAUACAUAUAUAUAUGUUUUUCAUGCUUCCCUUUCUAUGUGGCCUCUGCAUGACAAUGCAGUGAAAAAAACAACCUGAGCAGAGAAUACAUUGCUUUGAGAAGAGGCACCCUUAGCUACUCAUGCCUUUGGCAAAAAAUUAAUGAUGGUAAGUAAGUGUCCUUUCUGGAGCUGAGCUCAGUUCUGCAGGUCUUCCCUGGUGGAGUCCCCAAGGAUGGUCCCACUGCGGGACAAAAAGCUGUGCUGACCAUGCAACCUUUUGGCAGGUUAGCUCUGCCCGUGUGUGUGCUUGCUCACCAUGCGGCGUAAUGACUCCACAUGGCUAAUUCAGACCUGUAGGCAUUACUGCAAUGUAAAUUAUGAAUAGUCAUAAUAGUAAUUAAUAAACAUGCU